GGGCCCGCACAAGCGGUGGAGCAUGUGGUUUAAUACGUCACUAACCGUAGAACCUUACCCAGGCUUGACAUCUGGUGUAAGUCCAUGAAAGUGGUACCCCGCUAUAGCAAUAUAGCGCACCAAGACAGGUGUUGCAUGGCUGUCGUCAGCUCGUGUCGUGAGAUGUUGGGUUAAGUCCCGCAACGAGCGCAACCCUCAUCCGAUGUUGCCAGCGAGUAGUGUCGGGAACUCUUCGGAAACUGCCCGUGUAAGCGGGAGGAAGGUGGGGAUGACGUCAAGUCAGCAUGGCCCUUACGCCUGGGGCUACACACAUGCUACAAUGGAUGUUAUACAAAGGGCAGCAAGACCGCGAGGUGGAGCUAAUCUCAAAAAUACAUCCUCAGUUCGGAUUGCAGGCUGCAACUCGCCUGCAUGAAGUCGGAAUCGCUAGUAACCGCAGGUCAGCUAAACUGCGGUGAAUACGUUCCCGGGCCUU
rnacentral:rRNA from 1 species